rnacentral:rRNA from 1 species
AAUAUUGCACAAUGGGCGCAAGCCUGAUGCAGCCAUGCCGCGUGUAUGAAGAAGGCCUUCGGUUUGUAAAGUACUUUCAGCGGGGAGGCAGGCGACAGGGUUAAUAACCCUGUCGAUGGACGUUACUCGCAGAAGAAGCACCGGCUAACUCCGUGCCAGCAGCCGCGGUAAUACGGAGGGUGCAAGCGGUAAUCGGAAUUACUGGGCGUAAAGCGCACGCAGGCGGUCUGUCAAGUCGGAUGUGAAAUCCCCGGGCUCAACCUGGGAACUGCAUUCGAAACUGGCAGGCUAGAGUCUUGUAGAGGGGGGUAGAAUUCCAGGUGUAGCGGUGAAAUGCGUAGAGAUCUGGAGGAAUACCGGUGGCGAAGGCGGCCCCCUGGACAAAGACUGACGCUCAGGUGCGAAAGCGUGGGGAGCAAAC